CCUACGGGAGGCAGCAGUGGGGAAUAUUGCACAAUGGGGGAAACCCUGAUGCAGCAACGCCGCGUGAGUGAGGAAGUAUUUCGGUAUGUAAAGCUCUAUCAGCAGGGAAGAGAAAAGAUGGUAUCUGAAAAAGAAGCCCCGGCUAACUAUGUGCCAGCAGCAGCGGUAAUAAGUAGGGGGCAAGCGUCAGCCGGAUUUAGUGGGUGGAAAGGGAGCGUAGGCGGAAAUGUAAGUAGGAAGUGAAAGCCUAGGGCUUAACCCUGGAAAUGCUUUUGAUACUGUCCAGCUAGAGUACGGGAGAGGUAAGGAGAAUUCCUAGGGUAGCGGUGAAAUGCGUAGAUAUUAGGAGGAACACCAGUGGCGAAGGCAGCUUACUGGACCGAAACUGACGUUGAGGCUCGAAAGCGUGGGGAGCAAACAGGAUUAGAUACCCCGGUAGUC
rnacentral:rRNA from 1 species